GUGCUGGCACAGGCUAUCCCCACCUAGUUUCUAUUAUAUAGAGGCUAUCCCCACCUAGUUUCUAUUAUAUAGGAAGGCUAGGUCUCGACGUGUCUGUUUCACGUCAAUCGUUUUUAGAUCGAGGGCAUAUUAGAUUUUUCAAUUAUCUACAUUACGUGUUUUUCAUUGUGCAACUGGGAACGACCACGUAGCAUAUCACAUUUCUGCUUCUCUUUGUAUUUUGCUUCUUUGGCCGUUCUUCAAUUUCUUCUGCUCUUUCAGAAACCGGUAAAUCACUAUGAGAUAUCAUCUGUGACUGAACAAUAGGAGCAUCGAUUGGAUGUUUCUCCUUUGCGGUCUGCUCUGAAUCAUUUAGAUUAAGAGAUAACCAAGUGCAGGUGGCAACCAAUAUGAAGAAGGAAAAAUAUCUUCUCUGGCUUUCCACUCUAUUUUUUCACUACAAAGAAAUAUCCUAGGAGGGUAUUUUCACGUUUUACGGCGGUCAGCAACCCCAUUAAUUGAUAUCACGGCGGUCUUCAAACCCCAAAGAUGUCACAGUUGAAGAGGAACGGAGCAGAUUUCAUAGGGCAUUUAGCCAUUUACUCAUGGUGUUUUCGCCAAAUGCUGCAAUACAGUUGGUUCUAAAGUCUAAUAGGUUAGAGUGUAACAUCCGCUUUAUCGUUCUGCUUCAUUUCAGUGAUAUUUUUACUGAUAAUUUUUUUUGACCUACUUAUAUCAAAGCAGAGGCGGAUCUAGGAUUUUUA